rnacentral:rRNA from 1 species
UACGAAGGGUGCUAGCGUUGUUCGGAAUUACUGGGCGUAAAGCGCGCGUAGGCGGCUUAACAAGUCAGGGGUGAAAUCCUGGAGCUCAACUCCAGAAUUGCCUUUGAAACUGUUAGCUUGAGUGUCGGAGGGGAUAGCGGAAUUGCUAAUGUAGAGGUGAAAAUUCGUAGAUAUUAGCAGGAACACCGGUGGCGAAGGCGGCUAUCUGGACGACAACUGACGCUGAGGCGGCGAAAAGCGUGGGGAUCAAACAGGG